GCAUUGGUUAGCAUUCGAAUCAUGCAGGCAGACUGUGUUCCUAGGUCGGAAGCAUCAAUCCCAGGGGAAGCCAACUGCAGAACAUUUUAUGCAUCGCUCAUCCUGUUAUGAGCCUGGUGCUGUUCCAUCUCUCUACAAGACUGGCUGGAGCAACAAUGAAAACCUUUUUUUCUUCCAUAUUUUUUUACUCCAAAAUUAGAUCAUCUUACUAAAUACCCUGACUUUACUUAAACCCAAAGAGGGUGUUCUCUCAAAAAGAUUAUCUUUAAGAGGGUCCUAUGGCAUUAUUAAUAAACUAACAGAAAAGGCAGCAUUUUGGAUGUCCCAGCUGAUGAGUUGGCAGUUAAAGAACAGAAACAGAGCAAUGAGACUGCCUGGCUACAUGUUCCCAGUACCACCUACUGAGAGUUAAGCAGACAAACAUUUUCAGAGCCCAGCCCAUUUUGUUCCCAGCAGGAUGGCAGUGGGUGACUGAUCAUACCUGCCAGCUGGUUAAUAUCAUAAUUAAUGAAGUUGGUGCGAUGUCUGCAAACUUGAAUUGGAACAUUUUACUAGUGAUGUGAUGGCAUGAAAUCACAAGGGACCAGCCGAGACUUUCCCCCCAAGGUGGAACG